rnacentral:rRNA from 1 species
GUCUACGGCCAUACCACCCUGAAUGCUCCCGAUCUUGUCUGAUCUCGAAAGCUAAGCAGGGUUGGGCCUGAUUAGUACUUGGAUGGGAGGAAGUGAACA